rnacentral:rRNA from 1 species
UCCAGAGGUCUCAAGCGUUGUUCGGAUUCAUUGGGCGUAAAGGGUGCGUAGGCGGCGCGGUAAGUCGGGUGUGAAAUCUCGGAGCUUAACUCCGAAACUGCAUUCGAUACUGCCGUGCUUGAGGACUGGAGAGGAGACUGGAAUUUACGGUGUAGCGGUGAAAUGCGUAGAUAUCGUAAGGAAGACCAGUGGCGAAGGCGGGUCUCUGGACAGUUCCUGACACUGAGACACGAAGGCCAGGGGAGCAAACGGG